rnacentral:rRNA from 1 species
UUACGGUCAAAUCACGCUGAAACACCGGUUCUCGUACGAUCACCGAAGUUAAGCAUCGUAGAGUCAGGUCAGUACUUAGAUGGGGGACCGCUUGGGAACACCUGGUACUGUAAG